GCUGACUCCCAAGUAUCAUUAUCUGCCCUCAAGUAUGAGCUUGCCAUACACCCACGGUUUCCUCAUCCCGUGUACUCUUCACUGAGUCAGUAAGGAUUGAAAGCUGAUUCCAAGUAUCAUUAUCUGCCCUCAAGUUUGAAACCCAUACACCCACGGUUUUCUUCAAGGUCAUGGAAACCAGCACUAAUGAACCCUUUGUCCAAACACCAGCUGCUACAGAAGAUGAUAUUCCCACCCAAGUUGAG